rnacentral:rRNA from 1 species
GCAACCUGCCCAAAAGAGGGGGAUAACACUUGGAAACAGGGGCUAAUACCGCAUAACCAUAGUUACCGCAUGGUAACUAUGUAAAAGGUGGCUAUGCUACCGCUUUUGGAUGGGCCCGCGGCGCAUUAGCUAGUUGGUGGGGUAAAGGCUUACCAAGGCAAUGAUGCGUAGCCGAACUGAGAGGUUGAUCGGCCACAUUGGGACUGAGACACGGCCCAAACUCCUACGGGAGGCAGCAGUAGGGAAUCUUCCACAAUGGGCGAAAGCCUGAUGGAGCAACGCCGCGUGGGUGAAGAAGGUCUUCGGAUCGUAAAACCCUGUUGUUAGAGAAGAAAGUGCGUGAGAGUAACUGUUCACGUUUCGACGGUAUCUAACCAGAAAGCCACGGCUAACUACGUGCCAGCAGCCGCGGUAAUACGUAGGUGGCAAGCGUUAUCCGGAUUUAUUGGGCGUAAAGGGAACGCAGGCGGUCUUUUAAGCCUGAUGUGAAAGCCUUCGGCUUAACCGGAGUAGUGCAUUGGAAACUGGGAGACUUGAGUGCAGAAGAGGAGAGUGGAACUCCAUGUGUAGCGGUGAAAUGCGUAGAUAUAUGGAAGAACACCAGUGGCGAAAGCGGCUCUCUGGUCUGUAACUGACGCUGAGGUUCGAAAGCGUGGGUAGCAAACAGGAUUAGAUACCCUGGUAGUCCACGCCGUAAACGAUGAAUGCUAAGUGUUGGAGGGUUUCCGCCCUUC